rnacentral:rRNA from 1 species
AGUGGCGCACGGGUGCGUAACACGUAUGCAACCUACCUUACAUUGGGGGAUAGCCUUUCGAAAGGGAGAUUAAUACCGCAUAAGACAGUAACUAGGCAUCUAGUAGCUGUUAAAGAUUUAUCGAUGUAAGCUGGGCAUGCGACCAAUUAGCUAGUUGGUGAGGUAAUGGCUCACCAAGGCUAUGAUUGGUAGGGGAACUGAGAGGUCAAUCCCCCACACUGGCACUGAGAUACGGGCCAGACUCCUACGGGAGGCAGCAGUAGGGAAUAUUGGGCAAUGGACGCAAGUCUGACCCAGCCAUGCCGCGUGCAGGAUGAAGGCGUUAUGCGUUGUAAACUGCUUUUAUACAGGAAGAAACGACUCUUGCGAGAGGCAUUGACGGUACUGUAUGAAUAAGCACCGGCUAACUCCGUGCCAGCAGCCGCGGUAAUACGGAGGGUGCAAGCGUUGUCCGGAUUUAUUGGGUUUAAAGGGUGCGCAGGUGGUUUAUUAAGUCAGUGGUGAAAGACGGUCGCUCAACGAUUGCAGUGCCAUUGAAACUGGUAGACUUGAGUAAAGUAGAGGUGGGCGGAAUUGAUAGUGUAGCGGUGAAAUGCAUAGAUAUUAUCAAGAACUCCAAUUGCGUAGGCAGCUCACUUGGCUUUUACUGACACUCGUGCACGAAAGUGUGGGUAUCAAACAGGAUUAGAUACCCUGGUAGUCCACACUGUAAACGAUGAUAACUAGGUGUCGGCCGAAUCUGGUCGGUGCCACAGCGAAAGCGUUAAGUUAUCCACCUGGGGAGUACGCCGGCAACGGUGAAACUCAAAGGAAUUGACGGGG